rnacentral:rRNA from 1 species
AAAAUUUAAAAUAAAAAUACUAAAAUAGUAGAUAAAUAAUUAUUGAAACUUAAAUAAUUUGGCGGUAUUUUAGUUCAUUUAGAGGAAUCUGUUUAAUAAUUGAUAUUCCACGAAUAAAUUUACUUAAUUUAUAGAUUUUGUAUAUCGUUGUUGGAAAAAUAUUUUUUAAUAAAAUUAAUAUUUAAAAAUUAAUAUUAAAAUUAAAAUCAGAUCAAGAUGCAGAUUAUAAUUAAGAAUAUAAUGGAUUACAAUAAAUUUAUUUAAAUGGAUUUUAAUUUGUAAAAGUUAAUUGAAGGUGGAUUUAAAUGUAAUUUUAUUUAAUUUGAUAAAAUGAUUAAAAAUUAAAAUAUGU